rnacentral:tRNA from 1 species
GCCCCCAUGGUGUAGAGGUCAAGCAUCCAGCCUUCUCAAGGCUGUGACCCGUGUUCGAAUCACGGUGGGGGCA